rnacentral:rRNA from 1 species
CGUAGGGUGCGAGCGUUAAUCGGAAUUACUGGGCGUAAAGCGUGCGCAGGCGGUUUGUUAAGAUAGGCGUGAAAUCCCCGGGCUCAACCUGGGAACUGCGCUUAUGACUGGCAAGCUAGAGUACGGCAGAGGGGGGUGGAAUUCCACGUGUAGCAGUGAAAUGCGUAGAGAUGUGGAGGAACACCAAUGGCGAAGGCAGCCCCCUGGGUCGAUACUGACGCUCAUGCACGAAAGCGUGGGUAGCAAACAGGAUUAGAUACCCUGGUAGUCCACGCCCUAAACGAUGUCAACUAGGUGUUGGAUGGGUAAAACCAUUUAGUACCGGAGCUAACGCGUGAAGUUGACCGCUGGGGAGUACGGCCGCAAGGUU